rnacentral:rRNA from 1 species
UACGAAGGGGCGAGCGUUGUUCGGAAUACUGGGCGUAAAGGCGCGUAGGCGGCGACUCAAGUUAGAUGUGAAGUCCUGGGCUUAACCUGGGGACUGCAUUUGAUACUGGGUUGCUUGAAUUCGGGAGAGGAUAGCGGAAUUCCCAGUGUAGAGGUGAAAUUCGUAGAUAGUCGGAGGAACACCAGUGGCGAAGGCGACUACC